GCAUAUCAAUAAGCGGAGGAAAAGAAAAUAACAAUGAUUCCCCUAGUAACGGCGAGUGAAGAGGGAAGAGCUCACAGUUGGAAUCUGGCUGUCUUAGAUAGUCCGAGUUGUAAACUGAAAAAGUGUUUUCCAGGCUAGCCGAGUAAAAAAGUUCCUUGGAAUAGGACAUCAUGGAGGGUGAGAAUCCCGUCUUUGGCUUGAGCAUAGUCUUUUGUGUUGCACUUUAAAGAGUCAGGUUGUUUGGGAAUGCAGCCUAAAGUGGGAGGUAAAUCCCUCCUAAAGCUAAAUAUUGGCGAGAGACCGAUAGCAAACAAGUACCGUGAGGGAAAGAUGAAAAGAACUUUGAAAAGAGAGUUAAACAGUAUGUGAAAUUGCUAAAAGGGAAGCGUUUGAAGACAGACUUGCUUGUCUACAAUCAGCCUGGGCUUUUGUCUUGGUGUACUUGUGGACUAUGCUUGCCAACAUCAGUUUGGCCUGGCUGAAAAAACUGGCAGUAAGGUGGCUUCUCCGGAAGUGUUAUAGACUGUCAGAAAAUCAGUUGGRCUGGACUGAGGAAUGCAAUGCAGCUUGACCCUGUGGUCAACUUGGUUGGAUUGGAACCAUUGUUCCGUGAAGGCCAGGGUAGCUACUUGAACUGUAUUUAGGUUGUUGGCUUAAUGUCUUUAAACGGCCCGUCUUGAAACACGGACCAAGGAGUCUACCAAAGAUGCGAGUAUUUGGGUUACAAACCCAUAUGCGCAAUGAAAGUGAAUCAAGUUGUGAAGGCGYAAGCUGGCAACAACAUCCGGCAAGGACGUUUUAUACUGAAUUGACCGAGAUAAAGCAUCUUUGAUGGGACCCGAAAGAUGGUGAACUAUGCUUGAAUAGGGUGAAGCCAGAGGAAACUCUGGUGGAGGCUCGAAGCGAUUCUGACGUGCAAAUCGAUCGUCAAAUUUGAGCAUAGGGGCGAAAGACUAAUCGAACCAUCUAGUAGCUGGUUCUGC
rnacentral:rRNA from 1 species